rnacentral:rRNA from 1 species
AUUGAACGCUGGCGGCAUGCUUUACACAUGCAAGUCGAACGGCAGCGCGGGCUUCGGCCUGGCGGCGAGUGGCGAACGGGUGAGUAAUGCAUCGGAACGUGCCCAGUAGUGGGGGAUAGCCCGGCGAAAGCCGGAUUAAUACCGCAUACGACCUGAGGGUGAAAGCGGGGGACCGAAAGGCCUCGCGCUAUUGGAGCGGCCGAUGUCGGAUUAGCUAGUUGGCGGGGUAAAGGCUUACCAAGGCGACGAUCCGUAGCUGGUCUGAGAGGACGACCAGCCACACUGGGACUGAGACACGGCCCAGACUCCUACGGGAGGCAGCAGUGGGGAAUUUUGGACAAUGGGGGCAACCCUGAUCCAGCCAUGCCGCGUGCGGGAAGAAGGCCUUCGGGUUGUAAACCGCUUUUGUUCGGGAAGAAAUACUCUGGGCUAAUACCCCGGGGGGAUGACGGUACCGGAAGAAUAAGCACCGGCUAACUACGUG